GCGCCCAUCCUCUGCCGCCCAACUCCGGCGUCCUCCCCGCCUUCCGAACCGGCUAAACCAUCCCCAGCUCAAGCCCUAGCAUGCCGCGAUAAAAGUUUUGCUUGACUGAAUGGAAGGUAACAUGCCUUCCGAAUCUGCUGGAAUCGUUGUCUUUCAACUUUCAUUCAGUCAUGUAAUUAACCGCAUUGCAGCGUGCUGGCAUUUAGGACAACUCUUGAACGCGGUCCUUCAUGCGCAUUGCGGCAAAGUUCCUCGCGCCAGCGGCGUUCCCAGUGACGAUGCACGCCCCCUACCUGCAGCGGCAAAGAUUCCUCCGCGGGCGGUUUGCUCAGUGACGAUGCGGGCCAGCGUGCUAGCUGCACAUUCAGCCCGCGGCUCCGCUUGGUCGGAGGUGAAGACGAAGACGCGCUCGGCCACUGUGCUCGGAGCGGACCAGACGACAUGGUUCUUCAUCCUGCCAGGCUGCGCGUGAAGCCAACGCGGCUGCAUUGCGGCAAAGGGUUGGUGGCUCCGGCAUCUGCACGCCAAGUGCUCGAUGCUUUGCCUGCAAGAAUUACAUCCCCUGUUCUUGGCUGCUGCAGCCAUUUCCCCUCUUUUUCUAUCAAAUAAAUGUAGUGACUAUUAAUAUAUCAGGAGAUGCUAGUGGAUUCUGUGAAGCUUGAAGGCAUCAUUGAUAAAUUUGGAUUCGAG
rnacentral:lncRNA from 1 species